CUUCUCUAGAUUGCUAGUAAUAGGCAAUAAAUUUUAUUAAGCCCCCUGCUCUGAGUCUUUUUUGCCCAUCACAAUAAUUGUUGAGCAAUUUCCCUGUCCUUAUCUCAACCCUUGAGCCCUUUGUGUUGCAUUUUCUCCCCCCCAUAAUUUUCUCAUCUUCUUACUUUUUUUUUUUUUUUUUUUUUUUUUUUUUUUUGAGGAGGAGGAGGAGGAAGAGGAGGAGGAGGAGGAGUGGGAGGAGGAGGAAGAGAAUGGUUGUGGUGGAGCUUGGCUGCCCACAUGGGAAUGAGUUAUGGUAUGAGGUAUGAGAUAUGCAAGUAUCUCUUGAAGAGUGAAACAAACGAAAAUCAAUUUCAGUUAAGAAGCGUUGGACUUGAUGCUGCAAAACUUAUCCUCCAAAAUCAGUGAGCGUUUAGAACUCCAUGCAUAAGAGUCAUUAACACCAUUUCCAAAACAAAUAAUGAUGCACAUACAUCAUAGUUCCUUACCUGUAGCACACCAGUAUGGCAGGGUGCGGGUGUUGUAAUUAACAGGCAUUAUUAAAGCCAGCCUAAGAGGUAGUACACUCUACUACCACCCAGGACUGACCAUCCAACAAAUUCCAGAGACCUGAGUUCUAGCCUGAACUGUCCUGCUGAUCUGUCAGCCUGACUGACUCACUUCAUCCUAUUGUCGUCUUCCUAGUCUUCAUUUCUUCAAACUGUGAAUGUUAUGGCGGGAAAAGGCUAGGAAAAAUUCACCCAAUUUAUGGAUUGAUGAUGGUCAUAUACUUUCUCUGGGAAUGGGCAGGGAGCGGGCUAUAAACAACAACAACAAAAAAUUCUGAUAGCAGCAGUCUUCUCUCUGGCCAUACUGAAAUGAUGUAGUCUUUAACCUGGCAAGUGACAGGGACACCUCUGGGCACGCAAGGGGUACAGGAUAUGAAGCAUGGCCAUGAGGGCAACUAGAAGUAAGGUCCACCUGGUUGCUGCUCUGCUGAUCAUGGACCUCUUAUUCUGUGCCUCAUUUCUGUACUCCUGCAAUACAAAUAGAUGGUGAUUUAUCAACAAAAGAUCUGUCAAAUGUUGAACCCUCCCCAUAGGCAAUGUUUUACUUCAGCCUCAGUAACCUUAAAAUUAUUGCUGUGAAAUACAUGGCCCAGGAAUACCUGUGCCUUCAAUUACAUUUGUGUGUAGUGCCUGAGCUGAAUUCUGCAUUCAACCAGUAAUAGAAAUCACUACUUAUUCAUGUAUCACUUCUUACACACGAACGAAUUUCUGAUGCAAGAGUAAAGUGAAAAGAAAGAUAUCCUUGAAGACAAAUUCAACAGUUCAGAGCUUGCCUUUCUAAAAGUAAACAUAAAGCAAGGAACAGACUAUUUAGGCUUAGCACAAAGGGCCAGUUUAGCUCCAAGAAGCCAGUAGUCCAACAUAUCUUCAGUACAACUGAUAAGGAAAAUAGAAUUUCCAUUCACGGGAAAUCUCAGCAUUUAAAAAAUAAUACACAAUUUAAAGUGCUGAAAAAAAAAUAAAAGAAAAACUUCUGUAUUUUUCA
rnacentral:lncRNA from 1 species